rnacentral:rRNA from 1 species
CCUACGGGAGGCAGCAGUGGGGGAUAUUGCACAAUGGGGGAAACCCUGAUGCAGCGACGCCGCGUGGGCGAAGAAGUAUUUCGGUAUGUAAAGCCCUAUCAGCAGGGAAGAAGAAAUGACGGUACCUGAGUAAGAAGCAUCGGCUAAAUACGUGCCAGCAGCCGCGGUAAUACGGAUGGUGCAAGCGUUAUCCGGAUUUACUGGGCGUAAAGGGAGCGCAGGCGGCACGGCAAGCCUGAUGUGAAAGCCCCGGGCCCAACCGGGGGACUGCAUUGGGAACUGCCGGGCUGGAGUGCCGGAGAGGUAGGCGGAAUUCCUGGUGUAGCGGUGAAAUGCGUAGAUAUUAGGAGGAACACCGGUGGCGAAGGCGGCCUCCUGGACGGUGACUGACGCUGAGGCUCGAAAGCGUGGGGAGCAAACAGGAUUAGAUACCCCGGUAGUC